GACGUAGGGGGCCAGCGUUGUUCGGAAUUACUGGGUGUAAAGGGUUCGUAGGCGGUGCGGCAAGUUGGGAGUGAAAUCUCUGGGCUUAACCCAGAGGCUGCUUCCAAAACUGCUGUGCUUGAGUGUGGGAGAGGCGCGUGGAAUUGCAGGUGUAGCGGUGAAAUGCGCAGAUAUCAGGAAGAACACCCGUGGCUAAGGCGGCUCUCUAGUACGGUACUGACGCUGAGACGCGAAAGCGUGGGGAGCGAACAGG
rnacentral:rRNA from 1 species